rnacentral:rRNA from 1 species
AUACGUAGGUGGCAAGCGUUAUCCGGAUUUACUGGGUGUAAAGGGCGUGUAGGCGGGUUUUCAAGUCGGAUGUGAAAAGGCAAGGCUCAACUUUGCUCUGUCAUCCGAAAAUGGAGAUCUUGAGUGUCAGAGGGGAAAGCGGAAUUCCUGGUGGAGCGGUAAAAUGCGUAAAGAUCAGGAGGAACACCGGCGGCGAAGGCGGAUUUCUGGCUGACAACUGACGCUGAGGCGCGAAAGCGUGGGGAGCAAACAGGAUUAGAUGCCCUGGUAGUCCACGCCGUAAACGAUGAAUACUAGGUGUAGGAGGUAUCGACUCCUUCUGUGCCGCAGCUAACGCAUUAAGUAUUCCACCUGGGGAGUACGGCCGCAAGGUUAAAACUCAAGUGAAUUGACGGGG